CCAUCAUUCACACGAAAAGAGGGGGAGUAUUUUGCAGAGAGAUAGAAGGGAUACACAAAAAUACAGUAAGUCAGGGGGAGACAUAGGAACUGGGAAAAAAUUAGGAAAAAACGUAACCUUCUUCUUUCUUCUCUAGCAUCGACAAUACCAUUUUCUCAUCACCCAAGAAUUCUCAUCUACUCAACUAAUCUCUAACAAAAACUAGUAGCACACACACUUGACUAAUCUAGAGGACCUUAAUCUCUUAAGAGACCAAAAAGAGAAGGCCAGCCGCAUCAGAGAUAAGAAAAACGGGAUAGUUGCACCCCAUUUUUGGACCUCUAAUUUCUUUAAUUUCAUUAACCACCACACAACCGUCUUCCCCUCUAACUCCAUCUUCCUGAACCUAAUGCCUUUCCCUUUUUACAUGAAUCUUCAUUCUCUCGAAAAUACAAAAUAGACACACACACAAACUAAAAAACAGAAAACAGAGUGAGUGAACGGACAACAAAGACAAGGAACGAUCGAAAAUCCAAAGAGAAAAUUAAGAGAAGGACACGAAGCAGAGGGAACGGGGGGGUCGAGGAGGUUCCGCUGGGUGUUGUUCGAGUUUCUAUUGCAAUUUAUUCGAUCCGAUUUCAAUAGAUGUAGUUCAGUUUUGCUGUUGGAAUCUCUUGUGUGUACUACUCGGAGGAAAUUUUUAAUCGGAAAGCUUGUCUAAAGUUUUGGAUCAAUGUACCAGAGCUCGAGCAUGACAAAUACCCCGGAACCAUUGCAUUUGGAAGCUUGUUUGAAGAGACUUUUUAUAUUUUGAGUCCAUUUUCAUAUUUUCUUUUACUUUCUUGUCUCAUCUAGUAGUUUUAAGUCUUUUAGGUGGUGUAAGAGUUUUUCAAGUCUUUUGUCAUCGCACUUCCCAUUUGUAUUCGAAAACAAAAAAAAAUAGUUAUAAAUGAAAAAUCCAAUUUUUUUUUUAGUU